AAUGCAAUGCUUGUAUGUCACGGACCUUAGUAGAACAUGUAUGCAGAGAAAAGUGCUUAGAAGAUAAUUGUCCGAUUGUCAUGAGUAUAUUUUUACCUCGAAUUCUCCGGCAAAGGCUCUUCCAUGUGGUCAUGUGAUGCACUCAGCAUGCUUUCAGGAGUACACAUGUUCACAUUACACAUGCCCUAUUUGCAGCAAGUCACUAGGGGAUAUGAAGGUAUACUUUAGAAUGUUAGAUGCACUGCUUGCAGAACAAAAAAUGCCGGAUGAAUACUUAACCAAACUCAGGUAAUACUAUGUAAUGACUGUGGGAGAAAGGGAAAUGCUCCUUACCAUUGGCUCUAUCACAAGUGCUCUUGUUGUGCCUCAUACAACACCAGACUUCUCUAACUCGUCCAAUAUCCUUUGUUUUUCCGUUGUAAAUGAGCAAGUCUAAACAUUUUUUCUUUCGUUUUGAAAGCAUUUGAUUUUGUAUGAAAAAUAAUAUUCGACAUACGGUUAAUAAAUUUAGAGGGGUUGUAGUUCUCA